rnacentral:rRNA from 1 species
GACGAACGCUGGCGGCGUGCUUAACACAUGCAAGUCGAACGGAAAGGCCGUGUUUUUGUGGGGUGCUCGAGUGGCGAACGGGUGAGUAACACGUGAGUAACCUGCCCUUGACUUUGGGAUAACUUCAGGAAAGUGGGGCUAAUACCGGAAAGGAGUUCCUGCUGCAGGGUGGGGGUGGGAAAGUUUAGGCGGUUGGGGAUGGACUCGCGGCUUAUCGGGUCGUUGGUGGGGUAGUGGCUUACCAAGGCUGGGACGGGUAGCCGGCCUGCGAGGGUGACCGGCCACGUUGGGACUGGGCUAAGGCCCAGCCUCGAACGGGAGGCAGCAGUGGGGAAUAUUGCACAAUAGGAGGAAGCCUGAUGCAGCAACGCCGCGUGCGGGAUGACGGCCUUCGGGUUGUGAACCGCUUUCGCCUGUGACGAAGCGUGAGUGACGGUAAUGGGUAAAGAAGCACCGGCUAACUACGUG